GCCGCACGCGCGCUACACUGACAGAGCCAACGAGUUCAUUUCCUUAGCCGAAAGGUUUGGGUAAUCUUGUUAAACUCUGUCGUGCUGGGGAUAGAGCAUUGCAAUUAUUGCUCUUCAACGAGGAAUGCCUAGUAAGCGCAUGUCAUCAGCAUGCGUUGAUUACGUCCCUGCCCUUUGUACACACCGCCCGUCGCUACUACCGAUUGAAUGGCUCGGUGAGGCCUUCGGACUGGCCCAGGGAGGUCGGCAACGACCACCCAGGGCCGGAAAGUUGGUCAAACCCGGUCAUUUAGAGGAAGUAAAAGUCGUAACAAGGUCUCCGUAGGUGAACCUGCGGAGGGAUCAUUACAAGUGAACAACCCUUCGGGGCCUGUCUCAUAACCCUUUGUUGUCCGACCACGUUGCCUCCGGGGCGACCCUGCCUUCGGGCGGGGGCUCCGGGUGGACAAUUCAAACUCUUGCGUAACUUUGCAGUCUGAGUAAAUUUAAUUAAUAAAUUAAAACUUUCAACAACGGAUCUCUUGGUUCUGGCAUCGAUGAAGAACGCAGCGAAAUGCGAUAAGUAAUGUGAAUUGCAGAAUUCAGUGAAUCAUCGAAUCUUUGAACGCACAUUGCGCCCCCUGGUAUUCCGGGGGGCAUGCCUGUUCGAGCGUCAUUUCACCACUCAAGCCUCGCUUGGUAUUGGGCAACGCGGUCCGCCCCGUGCCUCAAAUCGACCGGCUGGGUCUUCUGUCCCCUAACGUUGUGGAAACUAUUCCCUUAAAGUGGCUCGGGAGGCUACCCCGUAAAACAACCCCAUUUCUAAGGUUGACCUCGGAUCAGGUAGGGAUACCCCCCUGAACUUAAGCAUAUCAAUUAAGCGGAAGGAAAAAGAAACCCAACAGGGGAUUGCUCUUAUUAACCGGCGAAGUGGAAGCAGCCAAUAGCCUCCAAAUUUGAAAAUCUGGGGGUCUUCGGCGUCCCGAAUUGUUAAUUUGUUAAAGGAAGCCUUCUGAAAUAACCCCCCCACCCUAAAGUUCCUUG
rnacentral:rRNA from 1 species